UUGCCAACAAGGGAAUAUAGGUACCUUUGCUUAUGGACCCCUAUGAAAGAAAACAAAUAUCCCCUUUUGAUAUGUGUAUGAACUAAAAUCUGCAAUUUAGUAAGAAAAGCAAACGAUAUUGCCGUCCUAUAUGCAUUGUAGGUUGAAUUUGCUGGGGGUGCUUUGAGAUGUGGCGAGUAUGUCACCCUACGCAAGGGUACAAAUGCAAGUCAAAAGGGUGGUGGUUCUGGUACACAACAAGUUGUCAUUGAAGGGCCCUUAUGUGAGGAUUAUUAUAAAAUUCAGGAUCUAUUGUAUUCACAAUUUUAUUUGUUAUAAUUGAGAAACCUCGUUGAACAUGGAAGAUAUGACCCCAUCAAUUUGAAUUGCCUAGUUGGAAAUGUAUUGAUUUUUUUCUC